AAAAAAACCCUAAGAGAGAGAAUUAUGUCUCUCUGUUCAGAGAAUGUGAAUGCCACAUACCUGUAAUUAAACUCAAUGUCUAAAAGAUGUCAAAGGGUGAAGAUUGCACAGAGUUAAGUUUUUGCAGGUGGCUGGAAAAAAUCCUGUGCUGAAGUUUUUGCAGAGAAAUAAGAAGAAAAAAAAGUAAGCAUAUUUUAUUCAGAAAUAUGUUUUGGAAGACAUUUGGAGGAAUACAGAACUAUGACCUGAAGAAUGCAGUAAAUUUGGAUGUAGAAAUAAUGCUUGUAGACUGGGUAGGAUAUAAAAUUUAAAUAGAAAUAUGUAACAAUCAAUUUGAGAGAUUGUA